AAAAACCCUAUGAAAAAGAAAAGUAACUAAAUGCAUUUUUAUUUUUAUAUAGAGAGUUGGUGUGUGGUGCAAACCAAUAGAAUGCUUUGGCGAAUCCACUUCGGAGGGUGCUGGGAAGGAAAUAUCAUAACCAGUUUACGGGUUGAACCGUUAUAGCUUUAGAGAUAACCUUUAUUAGAUAAGGUUAAUUAAGGGUGGUACCGUGAGAGCUCUCGCCCCUGUU
rnacentral:ncRNA from 1 species